GGCACAACGGCCUUUCAUUUCAUCAGCAGUUGGUCUGAAAUAGCAAGAGGCUUGCCCCAAAUUAGCAUGCCACCACUUAUUGACCGAACCCUUCUCCGAGCAAGAGUGCCACCAAUCCCUAGAUUUCAUCAUCUCGAAUAUGACCCACCUCCUUCCUUAAACACCUCUACGUCACUUGGCCCUAAUACCCAUAAGCCCUCAACUGGAUCUGUUUUCAAGAUCACACAAAAUCAACUUAAUACCCUAAAAGCCAAGUCAUGGGAACAUGGUAACAAAACCAAUUACAACACCUACAUCAUUCUAGCUGCAUACAUAUGGCGCUGUGCAACUAAAGCUCGGGGCCUCUCAUAUGACCAACCAACCAAGUUAAACAUGCCAGUUAAUGGACGUCCCAGACUACAUCCUCCCCUUCCAUCAACGUACGUGGGCAAUGCAAUGUUUGCGGCUUCAUUAAUUACUCUAUCUGGAAAUCUCCAAUCAGAACCGUUUGUAAAUACCCUAGAACGAGUUCAUGGAACAUUGAAAAGGAUGAAUAAUGAGUAUCUAAGGUCAGCUCUUGACUACCUAGAAACACUGUCAGAUAUAACAGUUGCCAAGAGAAAACCAGACACUUACGAGUGCCCAAACCUAAAUAUCAACAAAUGGACACGACUGUCUAUAUAUGAUGCAGAUUUUGGAUGGGGUCGACCAAUAUACAUGGGUCCAGCAAACGUUGUCCAUGAAGGAAAAAUAUACAUACUACCAAGUCCAACCGAUGAUGGGAGCUUGUCACUGGUAGCAUGCCUGCAGACUGCUCAUAUGAAACUCUUCGAGAAACAUCUAUACGAAGGCUUGAAGUCAUUUGACAAGAUCAAAGCUCGAUAUUAGUUGUUUGUUCUCUCUAUCAAUAUAUGUAUAAACCUAUAAAUCUUCUACUUAUGUUUCUUUAACUAAAACUUUGUUUGAAUCCUGUUCAUUUGAAAUUUAACAUCUAAGCUGCCCCUGGCUGACAGGUUUUUUUAUUGGUAAUUGUUAUACUAUACGUCGGUAAUGGUAAUAAGAUUGAUCACAUAGCAAUAACAAAGAAAAAUAAAAAUACACAGAUUUUACGUGAAAAACUUUUAUCGGGAAAAAAACCAUAAGUAGGGGAGAAGAAAUUCACUAAUGUUGAAAAACAAUAAUGCAAGAGAUUUUUUGACUACACAUUUUAACGAUUAAACAACCUUUUCAUAAUCAACAUCUAAUAGAAGAUCGCCCCCACAUAUCCCCCAAUUUUGUAUUUUUAUUUUAUUUCUUUAACGAGUGAGUUACACUUAGAACUUUUCUGAUCGGAUCAAACGGGAUUCAGAUCACACAACUCUAACAAUAAUCCAAGCAGAGGAGGAGCAGGAGCUAUAAUAUGAAAUGAGUAGAGGGCCUGGGUAUUCAUAAUUUAACUUUAACCUUCUGUGGUUGAGACAUUGACAAGCUAAAGCCUUGAGAAGAAAAGCAAAUGAACCUAAAAAACAUUUUCCAUUCCAAACAGCAUCAUUUGCUAUGUUCUUUUUACUGUUUCAGAGGUAAACAAUGGAGGACGGAGAAAUUAGUGCUAUAUUAAUACAAAUUGAGCAAGAAGAAAACCAACACAUCGUACAAGUAGACAUAAAUAUAUGAUUCAUAACAUUUUUAACACGAAAAAUGAAUAAGGAUUGUAUGAAACAGAGACGCCACAUCAUCUUAUAUUUUUUAUCAAUUAUUUAAUGUCAUUUCAGUAUCUUUUUUUUCAUGUCAUUAACACAUAAUUUUGGUAAUUUUUAUAACUUAAACCUUAGACAUUGGACCAUGAACUCUAAACUCUAAAACCCUUAACCCUGAACCUUGGAUCCUGCAUCCUGAACCUUAGGUUCAGGGUCCAUGGUUUGGAGUCCAAGAUUUAGGAUUCAAGAUCUAAAGUCUAGAGUCUAGAGUUUAGGGUCUAAGUUAAAAAAAAUAUUAAAAUUAUGUAUCAAUGACAUAAAAAUGCUGAAAUAACAUUAAAUAAUUUGUAAGUGAUACAUGAUGACGUGCCGUCUCUGUUUCAUACAAUCAUUUCUCAUUAUCAAAAUAUUAAAUUUUAGUUUAUUUUCGAUACUUUGUCUAACAUGAUUUUAGUCUAUAUACUUUAAUUUUGAGACAUCGAGGCCUUAUAUUAUUUUAUUUAAAAAUCUUAAUCAUUCGUCUAAUUUUGCAAUUAUAAAAAUAUAUAAUAGUUGAUAAUGCACUUAAUUGACAUAUUUUUAUUAUUUUAUUUAAUUAAUUUUGGACACGUAUUUUAUCUAAUUUAAGACUUAAUUGAUCAAUUUCUAUUUUGGUACAAUUGUUAUCCAAUGUGUCGAGAAAUGUGAGGAUACUUGAAUUGCAUAAAAGAUUUAACAUGAGAACUUGAAUUGAGGCGUGAAGGAAGAGGAGGCGCAUUAGUGCACACUAGAUCUGAUUAUAGGCAGGUUAUCCAUCCAGGCCUGAAGGUCCGUUUAAAAAGUAAGAGGGUUUGAAUAAAAAUAUAGACUCGAAAAAUGUGUUUGAAAAAAAAGGCUUGUUUUCUCAAUGGGCUGAGCCUUGGGUGAGUUUUUUUUUCACUCACGCCUGGCCUAAAUUAGUUGUUUUGCUACCAUUUCGCUAUUAUAUUACUAUUAUUUUAUUGUUGUUGUUUGAAUAUUGUAUAACUUUUAUUUUAUUGUUAAUUUUCCUAUUAUUUUAAAGGUAUUUGCUUGCUCAUUUGUAACUAUCUUAGUGUUAUUUAAAUAUAAUAAUAUUUUAAUGUAUUUUUAAUUUAUUGGGAAAUAUUUAAUUUUUAAUGUAUUUUUAAUUAGCAUGCCACCACUUAUUGACCGAACCCUUCUCCGAGCAAGAGUGCCACCAAUCCCUAGAUUUCAUCAUCUCGAAUAUGACCCACCUCCUUCCUUAAACACCUCUACGUCACUUGGCCCUAAUACCCAUAAGCCCUCAACUGUAUCUGUUUUCAAGAUCACACAAAAUCAACUUAAUACCCUAAAAGCCAAGUCAUGGGAACAUGGUAACAAAACCAAUUACAGCACCU
rnacentral:lncRNA from 1 species